rnacentral:rRNA from 1 species
GGGCGCAAGCCUGAUGCAGCCUGCCGCGUGUAUGAAGAAGGCCUUCGGGUUGUAAAGUACUUUCAGCAGUGAGGAAGGUUCAUGCGUUAAUAGCGUAUGGAUUUGACGUUAGCUGCAGAAGAAGCACCGGCUAACUCCGUGCCAGCAGCCGCGGUAAUACGGAGGGUGCGAGCGUUAAUCGGAAUUACUGGGCGUAAAGCGCAUGCAGGUGGUGUGUUAAGUCAGAUGUGAAACUCCGGGGCUCAACCUCGGAAUAGCAUUUGAAACUGGCAGACUAGAGCACUGUAGAGGGGGGUAGAAUUUCAGGUGUAACGGUGAAAUGCGUAGAGAUCUGAAGGAAUACCGGUGGCGAAGGCGGCCCCCUGGACAGAUACUGACACUCAAUGCGAAAGCGUGGGGGAGCAAACAGGAUUUAGAUACCCUGGUAGUCCACGCCGUAAACGGAUGUCUACUUGGAGGUUGUCCAUGAGCAGUGGCUUUCGGAGCUAACGCGUUAAGUAGACCGCCUGGGGAGUACGGUCGCAAGAUUAAAACUCAAAUGAAUUGACGGGGGCCCGCACAAGCGGUGGAGCAUGUGGUUUAAUUCGAUGCAACGCGAAGAACCAUCCUACUCUUACAUCCAGAAAGCCAGCGGAACGCAGGGUC